rnacentral:tRNA from 1 species
GUAUGGCUCAGUGGUGGAGCACUUGUCUAGCAUGCAUGAGACAUGGGUUCAAUCCCCAGCACA